UACGAAGGGGGCUAGCGUUGCUCGGAAUCACUGGGCGUAAAGCGCACGUAGGCGGCUUUUUAAGUCAGGGGUGAAAUCCUGGAGCUCAACUCCAGAACUGCCUUUGAUACUGAGAGGCUCGAGUCCGGGAGAGGUGAGUGGAACUGCGAGUGUAGAGGUGAAAUUCGUAGAUAUUCGCAAGAACACCAGUGGCGAAGGCGGCUCACUGGCCCGAUACUGACGCUGAGGUGCGAAAGCGUGGGGAGCAAACAGG
rnacentral:rRNA from 1 species